UACAUAGGUCCCAAGCGUUACUGAGAAUCACUGGGCUUAAAGGGUGCGUAGGCGGUCCGUUAAGUCAGUUGUGAAAUCCCCGGGCUCAACCCGGGAACUGCUUCUGAUACUGGCGGACUUGAGGCCAGUAGGGGUCACUAGAACUGACGGUGGAGCGGUGAAAUGCGUAGAUAUCGUCAGGAAUGCCGGUGGUGAAGACGGGUGACUGGGCUGGUUCUGACACUGAGGCACGAAGGCGUGGGGAGCGAACGGG
rnacentral:rRNA from 1 species